rnacentral:rRNA from 1 species
GUAGCUGGGGAAAGGCGCGUUAGCGCCGUCCUGAGAUGAGCCUGCGGCUGAUUAGCUAGUUGGUGGGGUAAGAGCCUACCAAGGCGACGAUCAGUAGCCGGCCUGAGAGGGUGAACGGCCACACUGGGACUGAGACACGGCCCAGACUUCUACGGAAGGCAGCAGCUAAGAAUCUUCCGCAAUGGUCGAAAGACUGACGGAGCGACGCCGCGUGGGUGAAGAAGGCCGUGAGGUUGUAAAGCCCUUUUCUUGCUGAAGAAUAAUGUGGGGAGGCAAUGCCCCGCGGAUGACGUUAGGCAAGGAAUAAGCCCCGGCCAAUUACGUGCCAGCAGCCGCGGUAACACGUAUGGGGCGAGCGUUGUUCGGGAUUAUUGGGCGUAAAGGGCGCGUAGGCGGUACGGCAAGCCUGGUGUGAAAGGCCACAGCUUAACUGUGGUUACGCGCUGGGAACUGUCGUACUAGAGUUCAGGAGGGGAAGCUGGAAUUCCUGGUGUAGGGGUGACAUCUGUAGAUAUCAGGAAGAACAUCAGUGGCGAAGGCGAGCUUCUGGCCAUGAACUGACGCUGAGGCGCGAAAGCGUGGGGAGCGAACACGAUUAGAUACCCUGGUAGUCCACGCUGUAA